rnacentral:rRNA from 1 species
AUGACAUCACUCAGAGUCCUUGAUGUGUCAGUUACCAAUCUGAAUGAGACUGCGAACCUUAAAAGUCUUCUUAAAAAUCUUUGUUGUUUGGAAAUCCUCGACCUUUCUGGAAAUGUCUUGAAUGGAGAUAUAGUGGCCUUGAUGGAGGGGCUGCCACGAUGCGCAUGGAAAAAACUACUAGAGCUAGAUUUCAGUGUUAACAAAAUCAUUGGGACCCUGCCAAAUUUUAUGAGGGAAUUCAGAAGCUUGAGCAUGCUUGACCUGUCCAACAACAACCUUGUUGGACCUAUACCACCAGUGGUUUGGAAUUUGACGCAUUUAACCUUACUUAAACUUGGCUGGAAUCAGCUCAACGGGAAUGUACCAACUGAAAUUGGUGCCCUUAGUGCUCUGACUGUUUUAGAGAUAAGUGCCAACAACUUGACCGGAGGUAUUCCGUCCGAGCUUGGAAAAUUGAAGCAUUUGGCGACCCUUAGGCUCGGAGGCAACAAAAUUACUGGACCUAUUCCACUAGAGGUUAUGCAUUACACUAGCUUAACCAUGCUAGACCUUUCCAGUAAUCACCUCAAUGGAAGUGUGCCCACUGAAUUAGGUUCCCUGAAGAAGUUGGUCCAUCUGUACCUAGGCGGCAAUGACCUUAGUGGUGUGAUCACGGAAGAACACUUUGCAAACUUAACAAGUUUAUUGAACAUAGACUUGUCUUCCAAUAAUUUGAAGAUUGUAGUGAACUCAGAUUGGCGUUCUCCCUUUAGGCUACAGUUCACAGAUUUUGCAUCUUGCGAAAUAGGUCCUCUCUUUCCAGCUUGGCUUCAACAGCUGCGGGGAAUCACUCAUCUUGACAUUUCGGGCACAGCUUUAGAGGAUAAGUUUCCUGAUUGGUUUUGGUAUACAUUUUCACAGACAAGAUAUCUCGACAUCUCUAACAACCAGAUGAGUGGCAGUUUACCAGCACAUCUGGAUGACAUGGCUUUGGAAGAACUCCACCUAAGUUCAAACCGACUCACCGGGUCAAUACCUUCGUUGCUGACAAAUAUCACAAGGUUAGACAUCUCCAACAACAAAUUUUCAGGAGUAAUACCAUCAAAUUUUGAAGCCCCCAAGCUUGAAAUGUUGCUUAUCUAUUCAAAUCGAAUUGGUGGGUACAUUCCAGAUUCUAUUUGCAAAUUGCAACAAUUAUCGUAUCUGGACUUGUCGAACAAUUUUUUUGAGGGUGAAAUUCCUCAAUGUUUUGACAUCCAACAAAUGAAAUAUCUUUUGCUCAGUAACAACAGUUUAUCAGGAAGAUUCCCAGCAUUUUUGCAGAACAACACAUAUUUGGAGUUCUUGGAUCUUGCAUGGAACAAGUUAUCUGGAAGAUUGCCUACAUGGAUAGGAGAUCUGGGGAAACUGCAUUUUGUAUUAUUGAGCCACAAUGCAUUUUCGGAUAAUAUUCCGGUGGACAUAACAAGGCUUAUGGUUCUUCAGUACUUGGAUUUGUCAGGCAACAAUUUCUCUGGUUCAAUACCUUGGCAUCUAUCAAACCUAACACUUAUGAAAAAGGUACAUAAGCAGCAGUUCAUGUAUAUUGAUGAUGGAUAUACUGGAUCAGAAAUGGACGGCAUGAUCCAGAUGAGUGCUGGUCGGUUGAAAGAAAUAUUCUUAGUAGUUACAAAAGGACAGCAGCUUGUGUAUGGUAGAGCAUUUGCAUAUUUUGUGAGUAUUGAUUUAUCAGGUAACUCCUUGACUGGUGAAAUCCCUACAGGCAUCACUUCCCUUGCUGCACUAAUGAAUCUGAAUUUAUCGUCGAACAAAUUGAGUGGACAAAUUCCAAACAUGAUUGGGUCCAUGUGA